rnacentral:rRNA from 1 species
ACGGGGCCCGCACAAGCGGUGGAGCAUGUGGUUAAUUCGAUGAUACGCGAAGAACCUUACCGGGGUUUGACAUGCAGGUGAUCGCCGUUGAAAGACGGUUUCCUCUUCGGAGGCACCUGCACAGGUGCUGCAUGGCUGUCGUCAGCUCGUGUCGUGAGAUGUUGGGUUAAGUCCCGCAACGAGCGCAACCCUUGUCAUUAGUUGCCAUCAUUUAGUUGGGCACUCUAAUGAGACUGCCGGUGACAAACCGGAGGAAGUGGGGAUGACGUCAAGUCCUCAUGGCCCUUAUGACCUGGGCUACACACGUGCUACAAUGGUUGGUACAACGAGUUGCGAGUCGGUGACGGCGAGCUAAUCUCUUAAAGCCAAUCUCAGUUCGGAUUGUAGGCUGCAACUCGCCUACAUGAAGUCGGAAUCGCUAGUAAUCGCGGAUCAGCACGCCGCGGUGAAUACGUUCCCGGGCCUU